UAUUAUUAUUAUUAUUUUUUUGGUUUGAGUAGAAAUGUUUUUAUCUGUAGACAUUUUAUUUAUUUAUUUUGGUUUAAGAAGUAGAUGGACUAUGGCUAAUUGUUUUGGCAUGGCUUUGUAGCAUGGGACAUGGAGCAAACUUCUAGUUAGGGAGUGGAUUCUCCUAUACACCUUUUCUUUUAUUUAAUUUAGAGGCUUUAUAAUGAGAAAGGAAGCAUUGUCUUGAAGCUCUGUAAUCCUUGUAAUUUGUUUGAGUCAAAUGUGAGAAUUUUAAAGAAAAUGACUUGACAUUAGGGUUAAGCAUUAUUUGGUUUAAACCAAA
rnacentral:misc_RNA from 1 species